ensembl:lncRNA
UAUGGAAUCUUAAUUCUCCCAAGCACUGGAAAAUGUCUAAGUCCUGCAAAUUGCCAUUGUGAGCCAGUUGCUCAAAAUGUAACAUGUAAGGUCUAUUUGCAAGGCAAAGCAGCCCCCAAAGCAUAUUUUAUAAAGCUUAUUGCAUUCCACACUGAUCUCUUGGCAUGGGAAUCCUAAGCUGCCAACUUAGCCCUACCGAUAUGAUCAUGCAAUGAGAUUCCAAAGCUCGGUCUCAAAGAAUCACUCAGAAAUAGAACUGAGACUUCCCUUUUUCUCCCUGUAAACACCGAAGUAUCAACUGCUUAUUUGGCCAGGACACUCCCAGCACAAAUAACUAUUUGUUUAUGUCACAAGCAGCAAGGAGGACAUGCUAGGGUGAUAAAAGAUGGAGAAACAGAAUCAGAGAGUGGAUAUAGGGCUGUUCUUAGUAUUAUUUUCAGUGGAAGGUAAAAACAGAAUUCUCCAUAUUCAUCGUCAAAUUUUUCUCAGUGAUUUUUUUAUUCAGGAGUAAGCAAGCACUUCACUGUUUUGCAAAGCUGUGCACAAAUCUUCCUCACCCAUUUGCUGGCUUUAUGCAUUACUCAGGUUGGUGGGGUCAGUUUGAAAAGAUAUAGAAAUUCUAUUUUUGUGUCUUUACACCAUUUAUUUCUUUGAUCUCUUCCUUUUCAAUGAAGGGCCUAUAUGCUUGGUGACCUCCUUUAAGGAAUCUUUGUGAAUUGGGUUGGAAGUUCCUAGACCCACAUACUUGUUUCAUUUAUGUCCGAAAUUUGUUAGCACUUGAUUCAUUUCUUGAGAAAUAUGCGGUCAAGCAUCAGUGACUUUCUAUUGCACUUCAGGAUUGAUCCUGCUAGAGAUGUGACUUAAAAAGACUUGCCAAAUUAUACCUUAGCGACAUUCUAUAGUUCAUAGAUUAUUCUCCACCAGCAUAAAUCAGUGAGAGUGCCUAGAGUCUUUCUGAGAGUUUCAUUGCCAUUAUCAACAAGAGAAGUUGAAAUUUACAAGUCAGGAGGUUAUUGUUCCAGAUUGAUAACCACAGAAAGUGAAUAAACACUUUUAAGGUCACAAACAUUUGCUAGGUUGUCCUUCUCAAUGCAUGUGCAGGCUGCAUCCUGUCCUUGUUUUUAAGCCAGGGUUUAUAAAUACGUAGAUUUAUACCAAUCUUAAUAGAAUUGUAUAUUUUAUGCAAGAAUUAAAUGCUUUACGACAUGAAGUAUAACUCAACCCAUUGUAAACUUUGGUGGCAAUAUGGAUUUGAAACUCGACAGUUCUCUUGUAUUUGCUUCCUAGGUUUCUGCAUGCAAGUUAUGACAGGUAGGACUGAAAAAACACUGCCUUUUGACGUCUAGCAUUUAGCAACUGAGAGUCGUAGAGUCAAUAAAGCUGUAAGUCUCUUCACUUAAUCUGUGGUUCUCCUAAAACUAUUAUCUGAAACCUACAGCAUCCCACCAUGAAAUAUUUGGUAAAUUUAUGUUGUGACGUGUUGCAGCAUGUAAAUAAUUAUAACUUCUCUGCAAUAAAACAUAUUUAUAUGAAA